GAUGAACGCUGGCGGCGUGCCUAAUACAUGCAAGUCGAGCGAAUGGAUUAAGAGCUUGCUCUUAUGAAGUUAGCGGCGGACGGGUGAGUAACACGUGGGUAACCUGCCCAUAAGACUGGGAUAACUCCGGGAAACCGGGGCUAAUACCGGAUAACAUUUUGAACCGCAUGGUUCGAAAUUGAAAGGCGGCUUCGGCUGUCACUUAUGGAUGGACCCGCGUCGCAUUAGCUAGUUGGUGAGGUAACGGCUCACCAAGGCAACGAUGCGUAGCCGACCUGAGAGGGUGAUCGGCCACACUGGGACGGAGACACGGCCCAGACUCCGACGGGAGGCAGCAGUAGGGAAUCUUCCGCAAUGGACGAAAGUCUGACGGAGCAACGCCGCGUGAGUGAUGAAGGCUUUCGGGUCGUAAAACUCUGUUGUUAGGGAAGAACAAGUGCUAGUUGAAUAAGCUGGCACCUUGACGGUACCUAACCAGAAAGCCACGGCUAACUACGUGCCAGCAGCCGCAGUAA
rnacentral:rRNA from 1 species